rnacentral:rRNA from 1 species
CCUACGGGUGGCAGCAGUGGGGGAUAUUGCACAAUGGGGGGAACCCUGAUGCAGCGACGCCGCGUGGGUGAAGAAGCGCCUCGGCGCGUAAAGCCCUAUCAGCAGGGAAGAAAAUGACGGUACCUGAAGAAGAAGCCCCGGCUAACUCCGUGCCAGCAGCCGCGGUAAUACGGAGGCUGCGAGCGUUAUCCGGAUUUAUUGGGUUUAAAGGGGGCGCAGGCGGAUUUUUAAGUCAGCGGUAAAAUCGUGGGGCUAAACCCCAUACAGCCGUUGAAACUGGGGAUCUAGAGUGCGCGAGAGGCAUGCGGAAUGCGGGGUGUAGCGGUGAAAUGCAUAGAUAUUAGGAAGAACCCCGAUGGCGAAGGCAGCAUACCGGUGCACAACUGACGCUCAGGCACGAAAGCGUGGGUAUCGAACAGGAUUAGAUACCCGAGUAGUC